rnacentral:rRNA from 1 species
UACGUAGGGGCUAGCGUUAUCCGGAAUUACUGGGCGUAAAGGGUGCGUAGGCGGUCUUUCAAGCCAGAAGUGAAAGGCUACGGCUCAACCGUAGUAAGCUUUUGGAACUGUAAGACUUGAGUGCAGAAGAGGGAAGUGGAAUUCCAUGUGUAGCGGUGAAAUGCGUAGAGAUAUGGAGGAACACCAGUGGCGAAGGCGGCUUCCUGGUCUGUAACUGACACUGAGGCGCGAAAGCGUGGGGAGCAAACAGGAUUAGAUACCCCCGUAGUCCCUGAG